GACGAACGCUGGCGGCGUGCUUAACACAUGCAAGUCGAACGGAAAGGCCCUGCUCUUGUUGGGUGCUUGAGUGGCGAACGGGUGAGUAACACGUGAGUAACCUGCCCUUGACUUUGGGAUAACAUCAGGAAACUCGGGCUCAUACCGGAUAGGAUCUUCUGCUGCAUGGUGGGGGUUGGAAAGUUUCGGUGGUUGGGGAUGGACUCGCGGCUUAUCAGCUUGUUGGUGGGGUAGUGGCUUACCAAGGAUUUGACGGGUAGCCGGCCUGGGAGGGUGACCGGCCACAUAGGGACUGGGGUACGGCCCAGACGCCUACGGGAGGCAGGAGUGGGGAAUAGUGCACAAUGGGCGGAAGCCUGAUGCAGCAACGCCGCGUGCGGGAUGACGGCCUUCGGGUUGUAACCCACUUUCGCCUGUGACGAAGCGUGAGUGACGGUAAUGGGUAAAGAAGCACCGGCUAACUACGU
rnacentral:rRNA from 1 species